AUUGAACGCUGGCGGCAGGCCUAACACAUGCAAGUCGAACGAGUGGCGGACGGGUGAGUAAUGUCUGGGAAACUGCCCGAUGGAGGGGGAUAACUACUGGAAACGGUAGCUAAUACCGCAUACCAUCGGAUGUGCCCAGAUGGGAUUAGCUUGUAGGUGAGGUAACGGCUCACCUAGGCGACGAUCCCUAGCUGGUCUGAGAGGAUGACCAGCCACGCUGUAACUGAGCCACGGUCCAGACGCCUACGGUAGGAAGCGGGCGGGAAUAGUGCACAAUGGGCGCAAGCCUGAGGCAGCCAUGCCGCGUGUAUGAAGAAUGCCUUCGGGUUGUAAAGUACUUUCAGCGGGGAGGCGUUACCCGCAGAAGAAGCACCGGCUAACUCCGUGCCAGCAGCCGCGGUAAUUC
rnacentral:rRNA from 1 species